rnacentral:rRNA from 1 species
UACGUAGGGCGCAAGCGUUGUCCGGAAUUAGUGGGCGGAAAGAGCUCGUAGGCGGUCUGUCGCGUCGGAUGUGAAAGCCCGGGGCUUAACCCCGGGUCUGCAUUCGAUACGGGCAGACUAGAGUGUGGUAGGGGAGAUCGGAAUUCCUGGUGUAGCGGUGAAAUGCGCAGAUAUCAGGAGGAACACCGGUGGCGAAGGCGGGUCUCUGGGCAACAACUGACGCUGAGGAGCGAAAGCAUGGGGAGCGAACAGG